rnacentral:lncRNA from 1 species
CCGCCACUAAAUUCUCUCGUCCUCUCCAACUCUCUCUAGCUCUCCGAAACCCUAGCGUUGUUCCGCCUACUUCUGUCUCAUUCUCAUCGGAAUCAAUGGUGUCCCAAGCCCUGAGCAGCCUGUACCCACCUCCCGUGUUCUUAUACAUCUGUUACUUGAAGAUAAAAGGUCUGGCCUUGAAGGUUUUGGCUCAGAUCUUCACCAAUUCAAGUUUCACGGUCGGCACAUCUUGGUCCUAUGAACCUACAUCUAGGUCAUCCGUCUCAGAGCAGACCAUUUCCAGGACUUUCUCGCUUCUAGUAUCCUUCUGAAACCCUAGCCUUUGGAGGUUCUCCUGUUUCCUCUAGAUCUAUUCUAGAUCUGUGUUUCAUUUAGGGUUUUCAAAUGAUUUCUCAAGUUUCUUUCAAAACUUUGCUUUCAAACUAUUCGUCUUCUCCAACUUAGGGUUUUUCUAUAAUUUUACUUGUUCUACUGUGACUCCUAUGUGUUUCUUUUACUGUAUUUGCUCUACUGUGAUUCUUCUGUGUUUUCAUCUAACAUGCUUUAUUCUACCAUCCCCUUAUGAGUUCUUUUACAGUAUUUUGAUUUUUUAUCAUAUUUUCCUGAAAUGCUAAAGGUUUUAGUUCUUUUGGGAUUUUCUGAACUUAUUUCAUUGUUGCUCUUGCCUGAUUUGCUUGCUUUCGUCUCUACAAUCGAUUAAUAGUAGAAGCCCUAGAAUUUUAGGGGGUUUUCACUCGAGUUCUUGAGACCAAUCGUAUGUGACUUGUUUGCUUCCCAUCUCUGAAUUAGUUUGGUUUCAAAGCCCUUAUUUCUGAGUUCACCUUUGUUUCAACUUGUGGUUCUGAUAUUUGCUAAGUUCUAUAGGACCUUUUAUCUCACCUAGCAUUUUAUCUAAUACUCUCUUUUAGCAAUAGUCCUCUACUCACUGGUCUUUGGUUGCAUGAUACUUUCUUUUUUGUUUGGGUCCAGCCUCGCAUAUUUAAAGCCCAUGACCUCUUUAUAUUUAGAUAUUCCCUCUCAGAACAACCUUUGAUUUGGGGAUUGAUUUCAAACUGCUUUGUGUGAAUUCGAUUGAUUAUUUUCUUGUUUAAUCAGAACCUCUCGAUUCCCCUAUUGUCUGGCUUGGUUCGUUAGUGAUUUGGGGGAUCUCUGAUUCCCUGAUUUACUAUGUGCUAAUCGUUUUACUUCUUUUCCUUAUUUACUUAACCGUGUAUUUCACAACUUCCUUUCUUUAAUUAAGAUCCACAUGUUGUGCACAAUGUUUUUAUUUGAUCCCCUUUCCUUAAAUGUUUCUUGUCUUGUACCGCACAAAUUUGAAUCACUUUAUUAGAGGAAUCUUCUUCUACUGAUUGAUUUUUAAUUGAUACUUGAUUAUUUUCUUGCCUUGUUACCUGUCUGAUUGCAAAGUAUAAAUACUUGCUUCUUCUCUCAACACACACACUUUAGAGUACACACAGACUAUUGAAUUUAAAAAUACUUCGAACACCUUUCACUACCGUCUGAUUUCAAAGUAUAAAUACUUGCGUAUUCUCUCAACACACAUACUUCAGAUUACACACAGACUUCUGAAUAUAAAAAAACUUCGAACACCUUUCACUACACAAUUUUAAAUACUCUCUCUACUACUACCUUCUCUAUUUUUGAUACGGUGUACUUUGCUCCUCUCUCUUCUACUGUCUGAAAUACUCCUGGUUUCCUCUUGAACUCUUAAAUACUUGCUGAAGGUUCUGAGUUUUGCUGACUUUCUGGCUUAUUACUUACUUUUGCUUGUUCUGUUGUACUAAAAAUUGCAACUGGUAUGUCUUUCUAGUUAAAUAAUACCCUCCUGACUAUGUUUUUAUUCUUUCUCCCCUGUUAUGCAUUCAUACUAUGUGUUUACUUUAUGCUUUCUUGCCAUAUAUCUGCUCUGUCUCUAUGAUUCUGCACCCUUAGUAUGUUAUGCUUUUCUUGUGCUUCUGUGAAUGUUGUCUAUGUGAGUCCCCUUCCCUUUGACCCUUUCUUGGGUGAGAGUACUGUUCUGAGUCAUGGCGGCAUGCUAUGACUGUUAUCCAUGACCUAGAACUAGGUUCGCUUGAACCUUUAAUCAAAUCAAUUCUCAUCCCCUUUACCCCUUAUGUAGCGAGCCUUGACUCAAGUCUGGUGGUAUCCGAAUCACCAUCCGGACCCAAGUCUGACUUCCAAGAAAAGUCUGCUCUUAAUUUUUUUGACCAAACAGUGGGUCAGGGGUGUUCCAAUAUAUGCCCAUGGUUGGGUAUGAUCACUCUCUUCUAUGGCUCCCUAACCCCUGUCUCAUUUUGCACUUAUUCCUAGUUCUAAUUUCUGCCCCUCUCUGGUAAGCAAUGCUUUGGUACCCUAGAGUUCCCUCUGAACUUGGAUGCAUGAGGGCUGGCUAUUCCAUACUGCACUAUUCUGUUAUAACAUUUAGCCAGAGUGUAAGCAUUGUCUAGAGCUCCUGAAGCUCCUUGGAACUCUGAAACACUUUGGAUAAAAGAAGGACUUGGAAAUAUGGAUUCCAUAAUUGGUAAAACACUUGUUAUUGGACACUAAGAUUGAAUUAGGCUUCUCGG